AAGCACAUAUCAUAAUCUCAUCUUCCAGCCAUAAUCCCAUUUCAGGACAUAACCAACAGGAAAGAACAAGAUACUAAAGAAGUCAACAAACAGAGGGAUAAGGAAUGGUAUGCAAAAAAAAGAUGAAAUUUCCAAGUGCGGGUGACAAACACGGGAGUUUAAGAAACAGUCGACCCACCGGCAUGGAUCCAAUAGUUCGGCAAAGAAGGGCAUCUCUGAUAACUGCUAUAGCUGAUUUGUCACAGUUAUUGGCUGUGUCUCUUUAGAGGGUGUGAACAAUGAGUCCAAAGGUAUGGAUCCAAUUGUUCAGCAAAGCGGGGCAUCUCUGAUGACAACUAUAGCUGAUUUGUGGGUGUAGACAAUGAGUCCAAAGGUAUGUAACAUCAGCCUAAAAACAUCUAUAUCUAUAGGAAAACCUCCGAUGACUACUAUAGUUCUAUACCAAUAUAAAAAGACCUGGGGAGUAGGGUGAUCCAACAAA